rnacentral:lncRNA from 1 species
GCAGUUUAACUUUAUCCCAGGUACCACCGUCCAUCAACUAUGGACGCAAUGCCUUCCACCAUCGGAAGGACUUUGAUCCUAACGGGUAUCGAUCUCGGUAUCUCCCGGGGGCAAUGGUUGCGCCUUACCAGUGGUGCCAAACCCUAGCUACAUGUAUGUAUGUAGGGACCGUCAGGCGGCUUACCAGCGUACAUGUCCCAUUUGUAUGUGAUCACCGCAACAAUUGCGUCGGUUGAGAAGGCGUCAUAGACAUGGUUGGCUAGCAGCGCGCCCAAUGGAGAGUCGUUCACGGAUCGCGUCAUCCGCGCCACGUACGGCAAUGCACAGAAACCAAG